rnacentral:rRNA from 1 species
GAAUUUUGGGCAAUGGCCGAAAGGCUGACCCAGCGACGCCGCGUGCGGGAGGAAGCCCCUCGGGGUGUAAACCGCUGUCAGGGGGGACGAAACCCGGAGUACCGAACAGGGCUCCGGCUGACGGUACCUCCAAAGGAAGCGCCGGCUAACUCCGUGCAAGCCGCCGCGGUAAGACGGAGGGCGCGAGCGUUGUUCGGAACCACUGGGCGUAAAGCGCGCGCAGGCGGAUCAUGUAAGUCGGAAGUGAAAUCCCGGGGCUCAACUCCGGGGCUGCUCCCGAGACUGCGGAUCUGGGGACCGGUAGAGGCGGGUAGAAUUCCCGGUGUAGCGGUGGAAUGCGUAGAGAUCGGGAAGAACACCUGUGGCGAAGGCGGCCCGCUGGGCCGGAUCCGACGCUGAGGCGCGAAAGCGUGGGGAGCAAACAGG